UUUUGUCGCCCCCUCUCAUCCCUUUCCUUCCUCAUUUUUGUCCUAUUUAUCGUUGAAAAGAAAAAGUAAAAUUAUAUUAAACUUAAAAAAAUGUGGUGGGGGAAAUUAAGAAUAAAUGGAAUAAAAAGGGAGAGGUGGGGUGAGAAAAGGGAAUGGAGGAGAAGAAGGAAUUAUGGAUUUUUUUGGUUCUUUUUGUCUCCCCCUCUCAUCCCUUUCCUUCCUCUUUUUUGUCCUAUUUAUCGUCGAAAAAAAAUUAAUUAAAAUUAUAUUAAAAAAAAGUGUUGGCGCGGAGGGCGGAAUGAUGGGGAAAAUUGAGGAUAAAUUGAAUAAAAAGGGAGAGGCGGGGUGAGAAAAGGGAAUGGAAAAGAGGGGGAAAAGUGGAAAAGUGAAAUUGGAGUGGAGGAGUGAGUGUGGAGAGGCGAAAAACAGGAAUUAAAAAAGUGAAAAAGUGAGAAAAGUUCAGGAAUUGAAAAGUGGAAAAGUGAAAAAAAGUUCAGGAAUUAGAGUGGAAAAGUGGCGAAAUUCAGGAAUUGAAAAGUGGGAAAGUGGCAAAAGUUCAGGAAUUAAAAAGUGCAAAAAGUUCAGGAAUUAAAAAGUUCAGGAAUGAAAAAGCGGAGGAAUGAAAAAAGCGGAAAAAAAAGAGAAAAAGUGCAGAAAUAAAGAAAAAAAUUAAAAGUGGAGGAGUGAAUGCGGAGGAAUGAAUGCGCAGAAUUUAAUUAAUUAAUGCGGAGAAAUGAGCGAGCGAAUGAGCGAGGAGGAAUUAAUUAAUUAAUGAAUUCAUUAAUUAAUGAGAGAGCUCCUCAAACCCCCACGGAUCCCCCCAAAAUCUCCCGCUCCGAACUCCCCGCACCCCAAAAAUGGGGAAAAUCGGGCAAAAAUCGGGGCGGGAAUUGGGGCAAAAAUUGGGGCCAAACUGGGCAGAAUUGGGGCCACCAAUUCCCCCCGAACCUCAGCGAUUCCCGGUGAGAAAAAUUCCGAUUUUCCUCGGGGAAAUGCCCUAAAAAAGCGCUUUUUCGGCCCAAAUUUGCCUUUUUGUCCUGGGCUCAUCACCGCAUCCACAAACUGUGACGGUUUCUGUGUGAAUAUUUUUCUCUGUGUUCGUGGUUCCUGUAUUUAUAUUUAUGUUUAGCGCUGUAAUGUUCGGAAAAAAAAAAAAAAGGGGGGUAAAAAAUUAAAAAAAAUAAAAUAAAAAAAAAUGAAUGGAGUUCA
rnacentral:lncRNA from 1 species